ensembl:lincRNA 2310020H05Rik RIKEN cDNA 2310020H05 gene
GAGACAGUCAACAACACAAAAGCAUGAGAUGCUCUGCAGCAACAUUUCUCCAGGGCUGGGAUCAAGUCCUGUCUCCUCUCUAAUCCAACGCCCGUCAUUCGCACUGACAGAAGUGAACCUUCAGAAUCCAAGAGUCAUUCGCCAGAAAUGUUACAAGAGCAAAGUUAAUUCUGCCUGUCUGCCCCAAGUGAGUGAAGGUAGGAGUCUCUCACUCUGAAAACAAACAAGAACCUUUCCAGAGAGUUUGAUCAUCUUUUAAGAUUCGGUCCACACCAUCAUCCGCCCAUUUUCAGGAGAAGAAAAGUUCCGCCCCACCCACUGAUGAGCUGGGAAGCCUCCUGUCUCAGUUAGGCUCUCCUGGAAGCCAUGAACACGCUGGUGUCUUUGCACGUUCUUUCUCUCCUCCCUGACUCCGUCUAAGCAGAUUGAAAACUUAGUUUCUGAGCCCUGAAGCAAACAGAGAAGAGCAGCCAGCCUCCCGCGGAAGCUCUUCACAGUCUCCCAGGGAUUUCCAGUCAUGGCCAACAUCUUUGUUACAGGACGGAAUCCAGCAUCCACUCGCAACCUUAGCAUAGAGCAGUAACCAAGUCUUACACGGGCUAGUUACGAAUAUCAGAUGUGCGGUGACUAUCCAUGGGCUUAGAGUGAGUUGGGCAUAUUUAAGUUAUGAAAGAUGUGUUUAUUUCCCCUGGACCCCAAAUAAAUGUCAGCGACAGCUCCAA